rnacentral:rRNA from 1 species
AACGGAAUGCUUAGGCAUUUAGUGGCGGACGGGUGAGUAACGCGUGAGAAUUUGGCCUUCAGGUCGGGGACAAAGUUGGAAACGACUGCUAAUACCGGAUAUUGCCGGAAGGUGAAAAGAUUUAUUGCCUGGAGAUAAGCUCGCGUCUGAUUAGCUAGUUAGGUGGGGUAAGAGCCUACCAAGGCGACGAUCAGUAGCUGGUCUGAGAGGAUGAUAGCCACACUGGGACUGAGACACGGCCCAGACCCUU